rnacentral:sRNA from 1 species
UGUCUAGCUCAGCUACACAAUAGUCUCCUCCCUUUGGUAGACCCCCUGUCCCCGCAAGCCACACCAGUCAAGUGCUACCACUGCGACAACCAUGCGGGUCGAUUUCCAGAUUGUCUCUCUGCUCCAGUUACGUGUCACAAGGACGAGGUGUGCUCAAUCGUCUACUCCCUGUCACAAAAAACCAUAAAAUGUCAGAAAUCUUCUGACUGUGCUAAGGAUAUAGCUCAUCCAACUGCUGAAUGUGUGGAAGGUGGAUACCAAAUCCAACCUGGCCAAUGUGAACUGUGCUGUAGUUCUAACGAUUGUUUGGACAGUGUAGUUAACAAAAUCGUGGCCACAC